UCAGACGAUGCGUCAUGCAUAUCAAUAAGCGGAGGAAAAGAAACUAACAAGGAUUCCCUUAGUAACGGCGAGUGAAGCGGGAAGAGCUCAAAUUUGAAAUCUUCAAGGUUUUACCUUGACGAAUUGUAGUUUAAAGAAGCGUUUUCUGCUGAAGUUUUGGUAAAAGUUCUUUGGAAUAGGACAUCAUAGAGGGUGAGAAUCCCGUAUUUGACCAUUAUUUUCAGCUUUGUUGAUACACUUUCAAAGAGUCGGAUUGUUUGGGAAUGCAGUCCAAAAUGGGUGGUAAAUUUCAUCUAAAGCUAAAUAUUGGCGAGAGACCGAUAGCGAACAAGUACCGUGAGGGAAAGAUGAAAAGAACUUUGAAAAGAGAGUUAAAUAGUACGUGAAAUUGUCAAAAGGGAAGCGUUUAACACCAGUGUUGUUUUCUGAAAAUCAACCUCUGUUAGCUUUAUGCAUGUUUGUUUAGACCUAAUCAGCUAUCUUGCAUGUUCUAUUUGUUUGCAGUGGUGCACUUUUCAGUUUACAGGUCAACAUCAGUUUUUUUUUACCGUAAAAAAGUUAAAGAAAGGUAGCUCAUGGCUCCGGUCGUGAGUGUUAUAGUCUUUUUCCUAUGCGGUAGGAGAGACUGAGGUCUGCAGUGUAGGCUAUUUGGCUAGAUACUCAGGUGCUAUGUGAUACCAUUUCAUAAACAACUUGUUGAUUAUGUUUUGUCUAUUGCAUACUCGCUUGUACUAUCAUACCUACGCUUAGGAUGUUGACUGAUAUGUAGUCGUA
rnacentral:rRNA from 1 species